GAUGGGUUUGACAGAACAUAUAUCUGUGCUCUUAGGAACUAAGUAAUCUCAUUUCACAAAGAAUCUGAUGGGAAGGCUAUCAUUUUGAUGAUCAGGAAUAAUUUGUUUUGAAAAGUAGUCAAUCUUGUAGUAUUAG